UGGUGGAGUGAUUUGUCUGGUUAAUUCCGUUAACGAACGAGACCCCUGCCUGCUAAAUAGUCGCUUCAAUGCCUAGCAUUGGAGUGGGCUUCUUAGAGGGACUUUUGGUGACUAACCAAAGGAAGUUAGGGGCAAUAACA
rnacentral:rRNA from 1 species